CCUACGGGAGGCAGCAGUGAGGAAUAUUGGACAAUGGGCGCAAGCCUGAUCCAGCCAUGCCGCGUGCAGGAAGACGCAUCUAUGGUGUGUAAACUGCUUUUGUACGGGAAGAAACACUCCCUCGUGAGGGAGCUUGACGGUACCGUAAGAAUAAGGAUCGGCUAACUCCGUGCCAGCAGCCGCGGUAAUACGGAGGAUCCAAGCGUUAUCCGGAAUCAUUGGGUUUAAAGGGUCCGUAGGCGGUUUAAUAAGUCAGUGGUGAAAGCCCAUCGCUCAACGAUGGAACGGCCAUUGAUACUGUUAGACUUGAAUUACUAGGAAGUAACUAGAAUAUGUAGUGUAGCGGUGAAAUGCUUAGAUAUUACAUGGAAUACCAAUUGCGAAGGCAGGUUACUACUAGUGGAUUGACGCUGAUGGACGAAAGCGUGGGGAGCGAACAGGAUUAGAUACCCUGGUAGUCCACGCCGUAAACGAUGGAUACUAGCUGUUGGGCGCAAGUUCAGUGGCUAAGCGAAAGUGAUAAGUAUCCCACCUGGGGAGUACGUUCGCAAGAAUUGAAACUUCAAAUGAAUUGACGG
rnacentral:rRNA from 1 species